UCCGAUAAAGGCAAACCCGCCGCGAGGCGGGGACGCAAAGCCACAGAACCCCCUCUGGGGUUGGCUGGGUUGCCGAAG
rfam:Armatimonadetes bacterium RBG_16_67_12 RBG_16_scaffold_10016, whole genome shotgun sequence.